GUUUAUUUGGCGGAAUGGUAGACGCGAUAGAUUCAAAAUCUAUUUCAAUUUAAAUUGAGUUCAAGUUCAAGUCUUGAAAUGAACA
rnacentral:tRNA from 1 species